AUUGAACGCUGGCGGCAUGCCUUACACAUGCAAGUCGAACGGCAGCACGGGGGCAACCCUGGUGGCGAGUGGCGAACGGGUGAGUAAUAUAUCGGAACGUACCCGGAAAUGGGGGAUAACGUAGCGAAAGUUACGCUAAUACCGCAUAUGCCCUAAGGGGGAAAGCGGGGGAUUCGCAAGAACCUCGCGUUUUCGGAGCGGCCGAUAUCGGAUUAGCUAGUAGGUGAGGUAAAGGCUCACCUAGGCGACGAUCCGUAGCUGGUCUGAGAGGACGACCAGCCACACUGGAACUGAGACACGGUCCAGACUCCUACGGGAGGCAGCAGUGGGGAAUUUUGGACAAUGGGCGCAAGCCUGAUCCAGCCAUGCCGCGUGAGUGAAGAAGGCCU
rnacentral:rRNA from 1 species